CUUUGCAUUCCAUACACUGUAUGUAAAUAUGCACGGUUGGUGCAUGAAAUAUGUAUAAAACCUCUAAUUUAAUCUUUUCCAUUUUGUAUUAAUAACAUCUUUUUAUACUAUAUAGGUACAGCAAGAUAAACGGCGAUACAAUCAGGAAAUUUAAAAGGGGUCUGCAUCUGACUCGCUCGUAAGCGAUUUAAUUAAAAGGGAGACGUGCAACAUUUACCAGCAUCCAGCAAAGCUACCAGGGCAGAUUCAAUCACAUUAACACACACACACGUACACGCAGCGGAUGUAUUUGUUAAGUAUCAAAUAAGCUCAAAAAAUUUUUAAUCAAAUAAAUAACUUAAUUUUAUCUUUUCUAGCUAAAUAUUUUGCUGAAGCUGAGGGGUGCUAAAGGAUGCAUCAAAGGGGUGAUGAAGCGCGUUUACUCCGACGAGUUGAUGUUCCAUUACAGUUUUGAGGGGAAAGCCAACAAAUCGGCGCUUUUGGGCCUCAAAAGUCUGGAACUCAUUUUCGGUAUUUACAUUUUUUCGUUUAUACUUUUUUUUAUAUAUAUAACAUGUUUUUUAUGUAUAUCCAACAGAUACAUUUAAUAGCACCCCGAAAAGCGAAGUCAUUGCUGAAAUUCGCAAAGCGGUUUUAAUGAGCCUGAACCGACAUAAACAAGUAGUUAGAAAACAAAAACAAAAAAUUAAUAUUCAAAAUAACUAAUAACUAAAACUAAAAUAUUUCUAAACCUAAUUUUAUAAUGUCAAAUUA